rnacentral:lncRNA from 1 species
AACAGUGCACCGACAUAAUUACAAAAAUGCCCUGCGUCACGCACAACAGUUCUUUCUCUGUCUAGGGUUACACAACCACCACCAUGGAGGGCUGCUAGGAUCGAAACGUGUUUCUCUUCUUCUGCACUAAACCUAAAUGUACCCUAAUAGGCUUUUCUUCACAUACGCUCCUUUAUCUUGCAUCAGCCUCUACAAAUCAGAAACCGCAAAAAAUUCAGUCUUAGGUUUGUGAAAAUCAGCAUCGGAUCAUGGAGAUGGAGCGUAUUACCGACUUUCCGAUGAGUACUGUUCACAUUGGACCGAGAGAACUACAACGAUUUGCCUGGAUGUUGUUCAAAAGGCGGCUAAGGUUAGAAUGUGAUGGAUCAGAAGAGCAACAACAAGGAAACUGAGAACGUGAUGGCUGGUGGAGGCGAUGGCGUUUGUGAAGUGGACCUCAAAUUGUAUAAGAGAUUUCAACAACUAUCUGUUGCUUUGGCCAUGACAUUUAGUUCAUGGCUUCAUGCACCAUGGGGACAAAGGUAAAUUCUAUGCCUUCAACUUUUGACACUUUGGUCAUUUUCAACUUACUCAUGUUUCUUUUUACCAUUCUCAGUAAGUUUUAUUUCUCAGCAAGAAUAUGAAUGAAUAUAUUUGGGAUUUAUACCUACAAGUGGACUUGAACGAAACUGAGGUUAUCUACAUCUUGGCGGGGCAAUCCGGAUGGUCAUGUCAAGGAAAAACUGAUUCUCUCACAUUGCAACCGGUCUGGAUGGUAAUGUCAAGAUACAACUGGUUCUCUCACAUUGCAACUGGUUGCUUUGUAGGCACAACUUUUGCUGGAAGUACAAUUACACCAAAGUUGUUUAGGUUGCAACUUAGUUUUUUUGUUUUGUUAUCUAAAAGUUGAAGAGCAUCUGAACACUUUUGUUGUUUUAUACUUUUGUAUAUAUAUCUCAACUCCCAAUAUCAGAUUAUCGCUAUAACAAAAACAAAUUGUAACAAGAAGGGUUACUAGGAAGAUUCAGU